CCGUGGAGAAGAGCUGGGUGGCUACAGUCCAUGGGGUUGCAAGAGAGACAGGAUUUGGCGACUAAACGACAACUACCACAAGGUUUGAAGGACUCUUCAACAAAAGAAACCACUUGUCACACACAUAAACAAUUUCAAUAUUUAGUAGAGGGUUAAUUGACUUAAUUUUAAUAUACAGUCAUUAAAAGGAGAGAAAUAGAAACAAUAAAGAAUAGUAAUAGCACAUAUAUCAGCAACUGGGCUGACCAACAUCCAGAUUUAAACAGCGCUGGGAAGUCCCUCAUUAACUGCAAACUGGAGUCCCAAUUGGGAAAAGGUCUCAGGCGGUGUGUUGACCCAACAGAUGAGCAAAUUGAUGUCAAGGUCAUACAAUGACUGAAUGGCGGAGUCAAGAUUUCAUUCCAGGCAAACAGACUCCAGAGCCCUAAAACUUCAACCAUUAUAUACACUGUGAAGAUAUUUCAUUAAAUACAGAUGGAAUUAAAUCAUCUGACAUUAGGG
ensembl:lncRNA